rnacentral:rRNA from 1 species
AUUGAACGCUGGCGGUAUGCUUAACACAUGCAAGUCGAACGGCAGCACGGUAUGUAGCAAUACAUAUGGGUGGCAAGUGGCGGACGGGUGAGUAACGCGUAGGAAUCUGCCCUCAAGCGGGGGACAACCCGAGGAAACUCGGGCUAAUACCGCAUAAACUCGGAAGAGAAAAGCUGGGGUAACCUGGCAAUUGAGGAGGAGCCUGCGUCUGAUUAGCUAGUUGGUAGGGUAAAGGCCUACCAAGGCGAUGAUCAGUAGCUGGUCUGAGAGGAUAACCAGCCACACUGGAACUGAGACACGGUCCAGACUCCUACGGGAGGCAGCAGUGGGGAAUAUUGGACAAUGGGGGGAAACCCUGAUCCAGCAAUACCGCGUGUGUGAAGAAGGCCUUCGGGUUGUAAAGCACUUUAGUUGGGGAGGAAGGUUAGCAGUUUAAGAGAUGGCUAAUUUGACUGUACCCAAAGAAUAAGCACCGGCUAACUCUGUGCCAGCCGCCGCGGUAA